rnacentral:rRNA from 1 species
UAUACAGCGAAACUGCGAAUGGCUCAUUAUAUAAGUUAUCGUUUAUUUGAUAGUGCCUUACUACUUGGAUAACCGUGGUAAUUCUAGAGCUAAUACAUGCUAAAAACCCCGACUUCGGAAGGGGUGUAUUUAUUAGAUACAAAGCCAAUGCCCUUCGGGGCUCUUUGGUGAUUCAUGAUAACUAUACGAAUCGCACGGCCUUGCGCCGGCGAUGGUUCAUUCAAAUUUCUUCCCUAUCAACUUUCGAUGUUUGGGUAUUGGCCAAACAUGGUUGCAACGGGUAACGGAGGGUUAGGGCUCGACCCCGGAGAAGGAGCCUGAGAAACGGCUACUACAUCCAAGGAAGGCAGCAGGCGCGCAAAUUACCCAAUCCCGACUCGGGGAGGUAGUGACAAUAAAUACUGAUACAGGGCCCUUUCGGGCCUUGUAAUUGGAAUGAGUACAAUUUAAAUCCCUUAACGAGGAACAAUUGGAGGGCAAGUCUGGUGCCAGCAGCCGCGGUAAUUCCAGCUCCAAUAGCGUAUAU